rnacentral:rRNA from 1 species
GUGGGGAAUAUUGGACAAUGGGCGCAAGCCUGAUCCAGCCAUGCCGCGUGAGUGAUGAAGGCCUUAGGGUUGUAAAGCUCUUUUGUCCGGGAAGAUAAUGACUGUACCGGAAGAAUAAGCCCCGGCUAACUUCGUGCCAGCAGCCGCGGUAAUACGAAGGGGGCUAGCGUUGUUCGGAAUCACUGGGCGUAAAGCGCACGUAGGCGGACCAUUAAGUCAGGGGUGAAAGCCUGGAGCUCAACUCCAGAACUGCCUUUGAUACUGAUGGUCUCGAGUAUGGAAGAGGUUGGUGGAACUGCGAGUGUAGAGGUGAAAUUCGUAGAUAUUCGCAAGAACACCGGUGGCGAAGGCGGCCAACUGGUCCAUUACUGACGCUGAGGUGCGAAAGCUAGGGCAGCGAACGGGAUUAGAUACCCUGGUAGUCC